rnacentral:rRNA from 1 species
GCAUCACCUACGGAAAACGAAUUUUUACMGGCUAGCAUAAAGGAAAAAUAAUGGUGCCACUUUACUAUUAGUGUUGUCAAAGUCUGGUGCCAGAAGACUCGGUAAGGCCAGAAGACGCGAGCGUUAAUCAUCUUGAUCAGGCGUAAAGGGUUCGUAGGCGGCUUAAAAUAAUAAUAAAAGCUAGAAUCAGAUAGAGGUCACCGUGAGAGAACACUUGGAGUAGGGUUGAUAUCUGUAGAUACCAAUGUGGAAUUCUAAUUAGCGAAGGCUCUUUUCCAAAUAAUGAUUGACGCUGAUAAACGAAGGUGAGGAACGACAAUAGGAUUAGAUACCCUGGCAUCCCUCUCUGUCAACGAUGAAUGGUAGUUGCUAGUUCUAAUGAGCUAGUGGCGAGGUUAACACGUUAACCAUUCCGCCUUGUGAGUACAAUUGCAAAGUUGAAAACAAAAAAAUUAGUCGGUUUCGGAGCAAACGAAGUGAAGCAUGUUAUUUAAUUCGAUAAUCCGSA